rnacentral:piRNA from 1 species
UGACAAGUGUGGAUGGAGUGAAAGUAUGAU